rnacentral:sRNA from 1 species
UUUAAACUAAAAGGAAAUACAAAUAUUUAAGUUGAUUGUGAACUAUAAAAGCUCUACUCUUACGGCAAUUACCAGCCAGUUUUGUGUUCACACCUAGUUUCGCAUCAUGGCAAUUUUUUAUUUUGUUGUAUUAUUAUUGGCUGUGCUCUUAGGUUCUUGUCAAGCCAUGCGUCGUUUUCCGACAAAAGGUCGAUUUGGUCGAUAAAGACCAGAUUACCUCCUUGGAUCAGAUAAUCUCGAUGGAACGGCAUAACACAUUUACAGGAAAUUUGAAUAAGAAAUCUUUAAAAAUCCGAAUAACUUGUCAAUGUCAUAUAUCUUGGAAAUUUAAAUAAAUGAGAACCUAACUCGCGGUAUAGUUGUAAAUGUUCUGUAGAGGCCUUUUCCUCGAUAUCCUCACAGUUACCGCAGAAA